UGCUGAAAGUAAACGCUGCUUAUAACUUCAGGGGUCAAGAAACGAACUAACAAAAGCAGCUGAGCUCACACAGAGUACUGCUGAUGUGAUUUGCUUGAGCUUGUGUUGGUUAGAAGUGUAGUUUGCUAGCACCCAGGCUAGCUUUAGACCCUGCCAACAUCAGUGGGUAUGGCAUUUUUGUUUAGUGUGGCCUUUCUCCUGUCCGUGUGCUCAGCUGCAAUUUGUGAUCUCAUUACGGAUGGAGUUCAUAUGGAGUGUCGCGAGCGUUACUUCAUGAUAGCUGUUGAUCUCUCCUUCACUGGAAAGGAACCUCGCUUUGAGGCUGUGGACAGGACAGGAGCGUAUGCCAUCACUGAACAGUAUGCUGCAAAGUGCGGCUAUACCGUGAGUGCUCUCUCUCUCCUGGGCCACGUGGAGCUCAGAGCUUCUUAUUUCAGCUGCCACACUGACAACAAAGAUGACAUGUUCUCCUUUAAUUUUAACUUGAUUGCUACACAUAAGGGAAAGGAAGCCAGCUAUGCACUGAACAAGACCUGCACAUUAUCUCUCCAAUGGUCUCACAGAGAGGUUACCUGUGAGAUGAACUACAUGGAGGUGUCUGUGAGGAGUGAUGUUACCUGUCCUUUUGGGACAAACGGACACAACAGGAAUGCAUCCAAAGCUGUACGCAGCGCCACCACUUCAGACUGGCAGGUGACUUUUCAAAGACCGGAGGAGCAGAUGCCGUCCAUGAACGUCUCUCAAGCACGGAAGCGGGGCUAUACGUUUGACUCGAGGGAUGGAAGACUUCUGUUCGAACGCCCUAUGGACAACCUGACUCACUGAGCACUGAGGUGGAGAAUGUUCCAGUGGAGGCAGUCUAUGCAACUGUGUUCUCCAGACAAAACUGGGUUGUCCUCAUGGUUGACCUCUUGGCAGCUUGCUCCAUGUAUGAAGGAUACUUUGAUGACGCAGGCUAUAUGAUGUGGAAGACUCCAGAGGCGCUGUACCCGAGUGUUGGUGGCACACAGAUCAGGAUUGGACUCAACGGGGAUCCCAUGGAGCAGCUUAUUGCAGAGAAGAGGGGUUACAUUGUUGAGAAGCACAAAGGCACAGUCCAUAUAGGCAUCCCUUAUAAUGCUGAAGGAGGACACAGGAAGAGCUUUGUCAUUGGGAGUCUCUAUGAGUUUUAUGUCUUCGACCUCUCCGUGGAGCAGAUCUCAUUAGAUCGUGACUAUGUGGAGACCAUGCUCCAGUUUCGCAGGACUCUGGUUACUCCCCUGUUGCCCUGCACGAUUUUCACUCAUAAUCAAACAGUCCUUAAAGAACAGAUGUUCACAAUCUAUCUCGGCGAUGUUCCUGAAGAUGUGGUGUUAGUUUCUAUCCAGCUGAAUGAACAAGACUUUACAUUGCCAUUUGCAAAUACAAGCACCUACAACAUCGCUGAAGUUCUUUACCCCAACGGCACCCAUGGCUACACACUGAAGGUGCCGUUCCACGACCCUGUUGUCAAACAGAAGUUCUUUAUAGAAGAUGCAGUUCUUCGUUUAUGCUGGAUAUUAACUACACGCUGGCUGUGCUACCUGGAAACGAGUCUUAUUACCACUCAGCAUCUAUUGUGGCACUGCUCACAGAUGUCUCACCUCCAGCCUUUGAUGCUGUCUGCUCUGAGUCUGGGAUACGCUUCAAGCUGGACCAUCAGCCUUUUGACUACUUGUGGGAGUUUACCAUCGGCUUAGACGUGCUAACCUCAGACCUGGCAGACCGGCGCGGCUACAUCUUGAGUAACGACAGCCAGAGUCUGAGGCUUGAUGUGCCACUUGCCACUCAUGGGUAUAAA